AGAUUCACGCAGUGGCAGUAUCAUGGCCAAUGAGGUUUAUCCAAAGCCUGAUUAUAGCUCAUUGAAAACUUUCCCCAAUACCCUGCCAUGACGACUUGCAUUAUAGUUGGCAUUGGCAAUUUUUGACAGUGUCUAUGCAGACU